UUCUUAUUGGAUGAUGACUGCCACGUGUCAUGUUCUGAUUGGAUGUCAACUCCAUGAAAGAUGAUAUGCAUUGUUGUUUUCAUUGAUAAAUCAAAACAUCACACGUGACAGUCAUCAUUC
rfam:Glycine soja cultivar W05 scaffold293_20, whole genome shotgun sequence.